rnacentral:rRNA from 2 species
UUGGACCUGAUAUCAGACAAGACUACCCGCUGAACUUAAGCAUAUUAAUAAGCGGAGGAAAAGAAACUAACCAGGAUWCCCCUAGUAACGGCGAGUGAAGCGGGAUGAGCUCAAGCUUAAAAUCUCUGUGCCAGUUUGGCAUGGCGAAUUGUAGUCUAUAGAGGCGUUGUCAGUGCAGCUGUGCGGGGUAAGUUCCUUGGAAGAGGACAGCAUCGAGGGUGAUACUCCCGUUUGUACCUGUGCGGCUUGCGCGUACGACACGUUUUCUUCGAGUCGCGUUGUUUGGGACUGCAGCGCAAAGUAGGUGGUAAAUUCCAUCUAAAGCUAAAUAUUGGUGCGAGACCGAUAGCGAACAAGUACCGUGAGGGAAAGAUGAAAAGAACUUUGAAAAGAGAGUUAAAGAGUACCUGAAACUGCUGAAAGGGAAGCGAAUCGUAUCCAGUGUCUAUAAUCUGCGACAUAUUUCAUUGGCGGCGGUGUGUGUGCUAUUGCGUCGGAAGCGGCUUUUGUUGCUCUGUGCUUUGGUGUUGCGCGUUGCUGCUGGUGCCCUGUGUUGCGGUGGGACGUCAGAGUCAGUUCGUAUGCUGCGGGAAAUGGCUGCCGAGGAGGUAGGUCGGGAUUUCGGUCCUGGCUGUUAUAUCUUGGUGGUUUGUUGUCGUGGUUGGGACUGAGGUGCCUACAAUGUGCUUUUGAGUGUACCGGGUUCUCAUUUGGUGGACUGUUUGGAUAGCUUGCUAUGCUUGUGGUUUUUUCAUCGGGUGAUUGAGUCUGGUGGUAACUUAUUGCCGUUCGGGACUUUGACGAAAUGGAGCGAUUCGGCCCGUCUUGAAACACGGACCAAGGAGUCUAACAUGUGUGCAAGUGUUAGGGUGUGGAAACCCGAGCGCGUAAUGAAAGUAAAGGGUGGCUUUAGCUGCCUGAGGUAGGAAACCUUUGUUCUCAGAGGUGGCACUAUCGACCGAUCAAGAACCUUCGUGGUGAAAGAUUUGAGUAUGAGCACAUAUGUUGGUACCCGAAAGAUGGUGAACUAUGCCUGAGUAGGGUGAAGCCAGGGGAAACUCUGGUGGAAGCUCGUAGCGAUUCUGACGUGCAAAUCGAUCGUCAAACUUGGGUAUAGGGGCGAAAGACUAAUCGAACCAUCUAGUAGCUGGUUCCCUCCGAAAUUUCCCUCAGGAUAGCAGCAACUUAUUUACGAUAGUUUUAUGAGGUAAAGCGAAUGAUUAGAGGACUGGGGGAAGUAACUUCCUCCACCUAUUCUCAAACUUUAAAUCUGUAAGACCUGCAGGUUUCUUAAUUGAACUUGUGGAUGUGAAUAUCAAGUUGCUAGUGGGCCAUACCGGGUAAGCUGGUCUGGCGAUGCGGGAUGAUCCGAACGCAAAGUUAAAGUGCCAAAAUACCCGCUCA